UACGUAGGGUGCGAGCGUCAAUCGGAAUUACUGGGCGUAAAGCGUGCGCAGGCGGUCUGUUAAGACCGAUGUGAAAUCCCCGGGCUUAACCUGGGAACUGCAUUGGUGACUGGCAGGCUUUGAGUGUGGCAGAGGGGGAUGGAAUUCCGCGUGUAGCAGUGAAAUGCGUAGAUAUGCGGAGGAACACCGAUGGCGAAGGCAAUCCCCUGGGCCUGCACUGACGCUCAUGCACGAAAGCGUGGGGAGCAAACAGG
rnacentral:rRNA from 1 species